rnacentral:rRNA from 1 species
ACCCACUGUCGUUGAAAAGCCAGGGGAUGACUUGUGGAUCGGAGUGAAAGGCUAAUCAAGCCCGGAGAUAGCUGGUUCUCCCCGAAAGCUAUUUAGGUAGCGCCUCGGACGAAUACCACAGGGGGUAGAGCACUGUUUCGGCUAGGGGGUCAUCCCGACUUACCAACCCGAUGCAAACUCCGAAUACCUGUGAGUACUAUCCGGGAGACACACGGUGGGUGCUAACGUCCAUCGUGAAGAGGGAAACAACCCAGACCGCCAGCUAAGGUCCCCAAAUACCAGUUAAGUGGGAAACGAUGUGGGAAC